rnacentral:rRNA from 1 species
AUGUGAUCGUCUCUCGCAUAUCAAUAAGCGGAGGAAAAGAAACUAACAAGGAUUCCCCUAGUAACGGCGAGUGAAGCGGGAAGAGCUCAAAUUUGAAAUCUUAAAGGGUUUCCCUUUACGAAUUGUAGUUUAAAGAAGUGUUUUCUGUUGAGGUUUUGGUAAAAGUUCUUUGGAAUAGGACAUCAUAGAGGGUGAGAAUCCCGUAUUUGACCUUUACUUUCAACUUUGUGAUACACUUUCAAAGAGUCGGAUUGUUUGGGAAUGCAGUCCAAAAUGGGUGGUAAAUUUCAUCUAAAGCUAAAUAUUGGCGAGAGACCGAUAGCGAACAAGUACCGUGAGGGAAAGAUGAAAAGAACUUUGAAAAGAGAGUUAAACAGUACGUGAAAUUGUCAAAAGGGAAGCGCUUGACACCAGUGUUGUUUUUCUGAAAAUCAAUUAAAGAACUGUUUAUGCUAAGUUGUUUAGACUUUAUCAGCUAACUGUUUAGUUUUGAGCUUUUCUUUAAUGCACUUUUCAGUUAACAAGUCAACAUCAAUUUCUUUUGCUGUAAAAAAGCUUGAGGAAGGUGGCUUGAGAUUCGUCUUAAGUGUUUAUAGCCUCUUGCCUAUGCAGUCGGAGAGAUUGAGGUCUGCAGCGUAGAUCCUUCGGGGCUAAAUGCAUUUGUGCUAAGUUAUAGCAUUUAUAGACAACUUGUUGACUAUGAUUUGUCUUGUAGCUUACUCGCUUAUGUUAUUUUACCUACGCUUAGGAUGUUGAUCUACAGAGCGAGAGU